AACGAACGCUGGCGGUAUGCCUAACACAUGCAAGUCGAACGAGAGCUUCGGCUCUAGUGGCGCACGGGUGCGUAACGCGUGGGAAUCUGCCCUUGGGUUCGGAAUAACAGUUGGAAACGACUGCUAAUACCGGAUGAAGUCGAUAAGACCAAGGAUUUAUCGCCCGAGGAUGAGCCCGCGUCGGAUUAGCUAGUUGGUGGGGUAAAGGCCUACCAAGGCGACGAUCCGUAGCUGGUCUGAGAGGAUGAUCAGCCACACUGGGACUGAGACACGGCCCAGACUCCUACGGGAGGCAGCAGUGGGGAAUAUUGGACAAUGGGCGCAAGCCUGAUCCAGCAAUGCCGCGUGAGUGAUGAAGGCCUUAGGGUUGUAAAGCUCUUUUACCCGGGAAGAUAAUGACUGUACCGGGAGAAUAAGCCCCGGCUAACUCCGUGCCAGCAGCCGCCGUAA
rnacentral:rRNA from 1 species